GUCGCCUCCUAAAAGGUAACGGAGGCGCUCAAAGGUUCCCUCAGAAUGGUUGGAAAUCAUUCAUAGAGUGUAAAGGCAUAAGGGAGCUUGACUGCGAGACCUACAAGUCGAGCAGGGUCGAAAGACGGACUUAGUGAUCCGGUGGUUCCGCAUGGAAGGGCCAUCGCUCAACGGAUAAAAGCUACCCCGGGGAUAACAGGCUUAUCUCCCCCAAGAGUUCACAUCGACGGGGAGGUUUGGCACCUCGAUGUCGGCUCAUCGCAUCCUGGGGCUGUAGUCGGUCCCAAGGGUUGGGCUGUUCGCCCAUUAAAGCGGUACGCGAGCUGGGUUCAGAACGUCGUGAGACAGUUCGGUCCCUAUCCGUCGUGGGCGUAGGAAAUUUGAGAGGAGCUGUCCUUAGUACGAGAGGACCGGGAUGGACAUACCUCUGGUGUACCAGUUGUCGUGCCAACGGCAUAGCUGGGUAGCUAUGUGUGGACGGGAUAAGUGCUGAAAGCAUCUAAGCAUGAAGCCCCCCUCAAGAUGAGAUUUCCCAACUUCGGUUAUAAGAUCCCUCAAAGAUGAUGAGGUUAAUAGGUUCGAGGUGGAAGCAUGGUGACAUGUGGAGCUGACGAAUACUAAUCGAUCGAAGACUUAAUCAA
rnacentral:rRNA from 3 species